AACAACAACAACAGUAAUUAUACCACUUGUUCAGUCUGAAAAUUUAUUUGUACCAGUGCAUUUGGAAGCAUCAGAAUAACUUGAGGUAAUAUAUUCAUACAAAAGCUUUGCUCCCGAUUCAUUGCAAUCCUAUCGGCUGAAUUUGAUCCGAGUCCUGGGAUAACUCAGUUGGUAGAGCAUGAGACUCUGGGGGUUGUGGGUUCAAGCCCCACCUUAUCAAAAAGAUUCCUGCAUUGCAGGGGGUUCGGCUACAAGACCCCCUUGGUCCCUUCCAACUCUUUCAUUCUGUGGUCUAUGAACCUCACUUAUUCACAAUGAGGGCACCACCACAAAUUUUUAUUAAGCAAUUUCUUGCAUAAUAGGAGUUUGCCUUUGUAAAAUUGGAGAACGAAAGGAGACGGAAUCUCAGGGUGGGCUUUUUUUGUGGGGGACAUUUUCUGGUCAGUGGGCAGGAGGAGCUUGGGUCUGUGGGAUAUGAAAUUCAUAGCAGUCAGGUACAACAUUCCUAGAGUGGACAUGCUAGGGGAUGCUUUGUGCCACCCAGGAGAAAACUUCCUUUCCUCCUGAGCUGGGACAAGCGCUUCCUCUACAUGUGACUUGAAAUAGGUGUGGCCUAUUCUGGGUGGAGGAGCACAAUGCUCUGUGUGCUACAUUCUUUCUUCUCCAUUUUGUGUUUUUCUAUGUGUUAGGAGAAGUGACUGCUCCGUCGCAGUCACUUGGGACUAACUCCCUUAGAUUAUAGUUUAUGUAUAGAUAUAGAUAUACUUUUGUAACUUAAGCCUGCCUUCAGGAAUCUAAUUGUGAACUGAAUGAAAAUGAAUAAACUACUUUUAUAUUGAUUUUA